UACGGAGGAUGCGAGCGUUAUCCGGAUUUAUUGGGCGUAAAGGGAACGCAGGCGGUCUUUUAAGUCUGAUGUGAAAGCCUUCGGCUUAACCGGAGUAGUGCAUUGGAAACUGGGUGCCUUGAGUGGGCGAGAAGUACGCGGAAUGCGUGGUGUAGCGGUGAAAUGCAUAGAUAUCACGCAGAACUCCGAUUGCGAAGGCAGCGUACCGGCGCCCAACUGACGCUGAAGCACGAAGGCGUGGGUAUCGAACAGG
rnacentral:rRNA from 1 species